rnacentral:rRNA from 1 species
AGUGAACGCUGGCGGUAGGCCUAACACAUGCAAGUCGAACGGCAGCACAGUAAGAGCUUGCUCUUACGGGUGGCGAGUGGCGGACGGGUGAGGAAUACAUCGGAAUCUACUUUUUCGUGGGGGAUAACGUAGGGAAACUUACGCUAAUACCGCAUACGACCUACGGGUGAAAGCAGGGGAUCUUCGGACCUUGCGCGAUUGAAUGAGCCGAUGUCGGAUUAGCUAGUUGGCGGGGUAAAGGCCCACCAAGGCGACGAUCCGUAGCUGGUCUGAGAGGAUGAUCAGCCACACUGGAACUGAGACACGGUCCAGACUCCUACGGGAGGCAGCAGUGGGGAAUAUUGGACAAUGGGCGCAAGCCUGAUCCGGCCAUACCGCGUGGGCGAAGAAGGCCUUCGGGUUGUAAAGCCCUUUUGUUGGGAAAGAAAAGCAGCAGGUUAAUACCCCGCUGUUCUGACGGUACCCAAAGAAUAAGCACCGGCUAACUUCGU